rnacentral:lncRNA from 1 species
CUCCCAAAAGGGCCAAGGGACAGGAGCAGGGGCUGCCAUGCCUUGGCUCCCUGAUGACUGGCCAGGACCCUCCCAGGGCUCUGCCCCCAGUGAUCCCACACAACCCCAGCCCUGGGAAGGGCUGCUGCCAUUGGAGAGGAAGCAUUAUUUAGCUGGAGCAUAGACUGGAGCUCUGUACAGCAGGACCUUUUUUUCAAAAGGCACUACAAAGAAAUGUUAUGAAGCAAUAUAUUGCCUGGAUCAAAUGCACCAACACCAGGAUCUACCCUGCUUGUUUCUCUGGGAGAUCACCAGGACAUAUGACAGCAUCCUCAGCGAGCUGCAGACGUUUCUAUUUAAGCUGCUUGGAAGGAUACCUCAGUAGCAGCCCUACUGGGCUCAAGGAGACAGAGGCUGACAGGGAGCUAGAGAUGGGCUUCACUCAGAGUAGUGUGGGUGUGUGGUCCCAGGCUCCAGUCUGGACUCUGGAAGUUUUCACCAGCCACACUUUGGUCUGAAUCUUAUUUCUAGAAGAUUGCAUCAUAUCACAGCCAGUAGGUUGCUUGUCCCACAUUCUUCACAGCUUCAGGCAAGUCCACUUGCUUAACAGUUUCCUGUGAUGCUCCUUGAUGCUUGAUUAAUUCUGUAUCAUGGUGAGAUUAAAAAGACAAAAAGCCUUUUUCCCCCCCUACUGCUCCUUUUC